rnacentral:rRNA from 1 species
UGGCUCAGAUUGAACGCUGGCGGCAGGCCUAACACAUGCAAGUCGAACGGUAACAGGAAGCAGCUUGCUGCUUUGCUGACGAGUGGCGGACGGGUGAGUAAUGUCUGGGAAACUGCCUGAUGGAGGGGGAUAACUACUGGAAACGGUGGCUAAUACCGCAUAACGUCGCAAGACCAAAGAGGGGGACCUUCGGGCCUCUUGCCAUCAGAUGUGCCCAGAUGGGAUUAGCUUGUUGGUGAGGUAACGGCUCACCAAGGCGACGAUCCCUAGCUGGUCUGAGAGGAUGACCAGCCACACUGGAACUGAGACACGGUCCAGACUCCUACGGGAGGCAGCAGUGGGGAAUAUUGCACAAUGGGCGCAAGCCUGAUGCAGCCAUGCCGCGUGUAUGAAGAAGGCCUUCGGGUUGUAAAGUACUUUCAGCGGGGAGGAAGGUGUUGUGGUUAAUAACCGCAGCAAUUGACGUUACCCGCAGAAGAAGCACCGGCUAACUCCGUGCCAGC